UACGUAGGGUGCAAGCGUUAAUCGGAAUUACUGGGCGUAAAGCGUGCGCAGGCGGUUCUAUAAGACAGAUGUGAAAUCCCCGGGCUCAACCUGGGAACUGCAUUUGUGACUGUAGAGCUGGAGUGCGGCAGAGGGGGAUGGAAUUCCGCGUGUAGCAGUGAAAUGCGUAGAUAUGCAGAGGAACACCGAUGGCGAAGGCAAUCCCCUGGGCCUGCACUGACGCUCAUGCACGAAAGCGUGGGGAGCAAACAGG
rnacentral:rRNA from 1 species